CUGACCUCGGUUCAGACGUGAUUACCCGCUGAACUUAAGCAUAUCACUAAGCGGAGGAAAAGAACAAA
rnacentral:rRNA from 1 species